GGCGGUAGUAGCUCAUGACGCACUCAAAAGAGCUUGUCAGGUAAUGGUGUGCAAAUCAUCCCAUGCUGAUGUAAGUGGAAAGCGGGAAUCAGGAGCCACGGUAGAUGCGACUCCGUGUGAUAGGCUACUGCUGCCCACUCACGCAUACUACUACGGCUUUAAGAAGACGUCCGGUCUAUAUUUACCUUACGGUUCGGUUCCCUGCCUCGUGACACUAGACGGAAUCCUGGACGACUCACAAGGUAGAGCAGCAAAAAUAGGAGGAAUCGGGAAAGAAGAUUGCUUAUCUCUUGCAUCACUUUCUUAUCCUCGUCAUAAAUCCUGACUGCGGUUGGAGUGUGUGCGCGCACGUUUUUUGUGUGUGCGACCAUUGUUUGCGUGUUUGCAUGUGUGGGUGAGGUCGAGCAACGGAUAGAGAAAGUGUGUAUGAUAACAUACCCCGUGUGGGGUAGGCCCCCGUUCCACGUGGAUCAUUGUCACACACGCUGCGUUGUUGUACCAGCUCUUGCCGCUGAGCUUUGGAGUGGGGUGCUGUUAGCCUGGGGUAUGUGGG
ensembl:lncRNA